rnacentral:rRNA from 1 species
UGAACGCUGGCGGCGUGCUUAACACAUGCAAGUCGAACGGUAACAGAGGAAGCUUGCUUCCUGCUGACGAGUGGCGCACGGGUGAGUAAUAUAUAGUUAAUGUGCCUCGAAGACUGGGAUAGCCACUGGAAACGGUGAUUAAUACUAGAUAGUCCUGCUAAACAUAAGUUUAGUUGGUAAACGUUUUUCGCUUCGAGAUCAGACUAUAUCCCAUCAGCUUGUUGGUAGUGUAAGAGACUACCAAGGCAAUGACGGGUAGCGGGUUUGAGAGGAUGAUCCGCCACACUGGUACUGAGACACGGACCAGACUCCUACGGGAGGCAGCAGUGAGGAAUAUUGCACAAUGGGGGGAACCCUGAUGCAGCAACGCCGCGUGGAGGAUGACGCAUUUCGGUGUGUAAACUCCUUUUAUGAGUCAAGAAAAUGACGGUAGCUCAUGAAUAAGCACCGGCUAACUCC